rnacentral:lncRNA from 1 species
CUGUUUUGUUUCACUUCAUCUCCUUCAAAGAAACCUCCAUACCCUCUCCGCCAUUUCCGCCGGUGCAACCUCCAAACCACCGCCAAACUUCAACCAAAAUCACAACCCAGACUCCUUUUCGUCCCCUCUCUACAAAUCCACCAGUAAUUUCCCUUGAAUCACCACCAAACGAAGUUAAUUUCACAUCUAAAAAGGGCCGUAGAGCGAAAGCAAAAAUCUCCCAAAUAUUUUCAGGCUUUGAUGACUCGGUUAGAUCUGUAAUUAUUGUUUCUCGCCGGUUUAACAAGAACCCGUGACUAAUACCAAUUAUGGUUCAAAUUCGAAAGCGUCAGAGGUCCUCUCAAGCCAUAUUCGUCCUUUGUUUUAGGUAUUUAACUUCUAUCUUUUAUUUUUGCUUUUCUCAUCUUCAUCUCUUCUGAUUUUUUGCUUCUUUUUCCUCUAUUUUUUUAUUUGUUAGUUGUUCUAUACACCUUUAGGAUUGAAUUACAAUUGGUUUAAGUUAAUUAUUUUGUUAAACAUAUGUCGAUAUUUUAAGUUGCUUUCGAAAAAAAAAAGAGAAAGGAAAAAGGGUCUCAUGUUUCAGAUGUUGCAUUAGUUUGUUUGGACAGUCCGAUUAUGAAUUGAAAUGGGCUCAAAAUCAGAAGUUCAAGAGAGGGGGGAAUUAAGCCGGGUUGACAGGCCCAGUUUUAGAAGUUGGACCUUGGGUCAGCACUGACCUAUUUGGUUUCCCGCUAUAAAAAAACAUGGGUCUUGAGGGUUAAGUUGGGAAAAUUUGAUAAGGGAAUCUAUGGGUAACUGAUUAGGAAGCUUUUAGGAAGCUGGGGAAGGGAACUUAUUUGAACUUCUAAAUUUUUAACUAGGGGUAUCUAGGCUACAAUGAAAAUUCCAAAACGUUUUAACCGCAAAACUGAGUCUUGGAAGCUGCCCUAAAUAUCAUGCCUAUAAAGGCACUCUACCUUGAUAUUCAGGGCAGAGAUUCAGAGUUAGAAAAUCUAGAAAAUACAAACAGCUGAUUUUUGACUGUUUCAUUGAACUCUUUUUCAGUGACUUUUGAAUCUUUCAAUUUCCAAACGACUUUGAUUCAUCUGAGGUUGGAAAUGGAUUAGAAUUGGGGUUUUGAAAAAUUCUAGUUCAAGCUUGUGGUCGGGUUUACUGUUCUAUUGAAUGCUUGAAGCUGAUUUCACUAUUUUUACUGUUUAAAUCUGGGUUUAGCUGAUUCUGUGGUGCUGCUUCCUGUUUGAUAUCUCUGGUGCAGCUUACUGCUUCUCACCUAUUUUCUUUGUCCAUUUACAGGAACAAUUUUGAACUUUACCCAAUGUGAAAUCCAAUUUGAAGAGGAAAAUGAAAAUGAAGUUGAGAAAUGACAAUAGUUCUAUCUGCACUAGUUCUAUAUAAUGUCUAUUUUCGUUACUCGAUUCUUGGUGUAUGCUAGGUAGUUUUUAUUCUAAAAAUUCAAAUUCAUUGAGUUGUAUUAGAUUUGGGACUGUUGUAAGCCUUGGAAAUAACCUGUUAACCGAGUUAAAUUCAGGACAGAUGGAUUCUUGGGGAAUCUUGUGAUAUGAAUGGUAUUGAGAUUUGUUUGCUGAAUAGCUCACUUAAUUU